GAAGACCAUAAUCAUAAAAUAUGUUUUUCAGGUAAUGUUAGGAAUUGUGGAAAAAAAAUUCAAGCAAGGCCUGAGGUGAGAUGUGCUAGCAGAAUGGGGCAGGACACAGGUCACUUUGAAUAAGAAUGUUAAUGAAGGUCUUGUAUGAUUCCAUUUCUAUGACACUGGGGGAAAAACAAAACCACAGGAACAGAAAAUAGAUGAGCGCUUGCAGAGGGAGGAGGUAGAGGGAGGAGUUGACAACAAAGGGAGACAAGAGAAUUGUUAGGACUGUGGAAAUGUUUCAUAUCUUCAUUAUGCUGGUGAUUAUGCAACUAAUAUAUGUGAGUCAAAAUUCUAGAACCAUACACUUAGAAAGGGUGGAUUUUACUAUAUGUAAAUUAUAACUGGUAAACAUCAUUCUCAUUCUCUCUCUCUCUCUCUCUCUCUCUCUCUCUCUCUCUCCAUAGCCUCUUUGCUCUUUUAGAAAUGGAGAUUAUUAAGAAAGAAAGGAACUACAGCUUCAUUUCUGAGCCUGGCAGCUUUCCCCUGGGCCAGAGCUUGAGCUUCAUAAAUGAGAACUCCAGAGAGCACCUCCAAGCAGGCCAGCAGGAAAUGACAGAGAUGCUUUGUUCAAUCCCCUUCUGUGACUUCGGUCAGCUGCUUGUUACUCAGCCAGAAUCUUUCCUCAAGAAUUCUGUGCUAAGUGUGGUCACUGAAUAUAGCACUCAAGUGUGAACACAGAAGACAUGUGUUUCAGAAAAGAUGAUCAAAAUGGAGCCGAGAGAGGAAGAGUAAAGAUUGAUAAGAACACUUCAGUUUACAUAUCUUCAUGAUUCAUCUACAUAUCUGUUGAUUCACUUCCCCAUAACAAGCAGCACAGAAUCUUCUGUGGUGUAGGCUUCCUGGUAAUAUUUGGUAAGUGUUGUUGAAUUAGCACUUUAUAAGCAAAUUAUCAGCACAGUAACAAACCUGAAUGUUUAAAUUUGUAUUGCAGUUAUGAACUUCUCUGAAUACAUGAAAACAGAAAGUAGAUUGAGUGGCUCUUGUCUGUUAGUGAUCAGGAAGUAACACAUCAAAUAAAAGAUAUAUCCUGGAACAUUUUUUAACUAACGAUAAAUCAACAUCAAUUAGUAGUCUUCCAGCUGUUAUUUCUCAAAGUUUAACAAAUAUAUUGAGAUACUGGACUAAUUUUUACUUCAUGGAAAUAAACGCAAAUACUUCAUGUUUAUUCCCUUGUAACCCUUGUAAGUUUUAUGGAAUCCUAAAUUUAAAACCUUCUAAAGUUUCAUGAAACUAGUGGUACAACACUAUGAAUUAGAGGGAAAUUCCUGUCUGUACGUGUUAUAAUACUCAGAGGGGGAAGUAGUUAUACUCUAAUAAAUUGCUAUUUUUUGAGGCUUUGUAGCCAAGGAGCAUUUUCAUUCAUUCAUUCAUUUCAUUCAGAAAAUAUUCAUGAGUACA
rnacentral:lncRNA from 1 species